UGAAGGCCCGACAUACACAUUCUUCCCGUGGCGACCCGACGAACAGCGCUACUCUGCCAUUGCAACCCUCAUUGUGGUCGGAGAGGGGAAUUACAUCCGAACAGACCUACCACUAAUGGAUAAAAAAGUCAGGUUCAGCGUGGGCCUACCCCACAUUAACUUGGAGGAGAUCCAACCGCUGAUUUUUAACCUCUUUAAGACGCUGUCUGAAGAGCAAUGGAGGAUGAUAGCUUCUGGCACCAUGGACCCGG